rnacentral:rRNA from 1 species
UACGAAGGGGGCAAGCGUUACUCGGAAUUACUGGGCGUAAAGCGUGCGUAGGUGGUGAGGUAAGUCUGUCGUGAAAGCCCCGGGCUCAACCUGGGAAUGGCGAUGGAUACUGGCUCGCUAGAGUGCGGUAGAGGAUAGUGGAAUUCCCAGUGUAGAGGUGAAAUUCGUAGAUAUUGGGAAGAACACCGGUGGCGAAGGCGGCUAUCUGGCCCGUAAUUGACGCUGAGGCGCGAAAGCGUGGGGAGCAAACAGG